GGGGGUAGAGGAUGAAGAAAGAACACCAAACCCUUGCUUCAAUUUCAAUUCACCACAACUCUCAAUUCGGAGUUCCGAUCUCCACACCGUUUGUGGCCAUGCGACCACCGCGUCGAGCUCUACAAAACUCACUGAACAAUUUGGGUUGAAUUAACUUUGGAGACUCGUUGGGUCUUGUCUCAAACGAUCGUGGGUAAGAGUGAAUUAUGUGGGUUGAAGACAAAUUGGCAAUAUUGAAGGCUUGAGACUGAACCUUGGGAGCUAAGUUGAUGAUUGAUGAGCAUUUGGGGCUUGAAGAUCAUGAAUUGAGGACCUUGGGGUAUUUCGAGCUUUAGGGAGGAAUCGACUAAGGUAUGGUUUUGGUUUCUCGUAGAUAAUGUGUAAUAUAACAUGAAAACUUAGGCUAGUUGACAGUAGGAUAAGUUGAAUUGGUGUAUGAUGCAUAUUAGUGGAUAUAGACAUAAAUAUUGAAGUUAAUGUGGUUGGUAAUGAAUUAAAAUGAAUUGGUUGGAUAGGAUGAGAAGUUGUGACAUGUGUUUGUAUAUGUAGUUAAAGUUAAAAGAUUGAUGAUUUGUUGUUGAAUUUGGUGGGACAAUCAUGGUGAAUUUGUUGAAUGGGUUGUAUGGUUAUGAAUGUUGAUAUGUGUGGAGCUAAUGAAAGUGUGUGACAUUGUGUGAGUAUAAUUUGUGUUGAAAUGAUUGUGGUGUAGU